rnacentral:rRNA from 1 species
GAUGAACGCUGGCGGCGUGCCUAAUACAUGCAAGUCGAGCGAAUGACGAGGAGCUUGCUCCUCUGAUUUAGCGGCGGACGGGUGAGUAACACGUGGGUAACCUGCCUGUAAGACGGGGAUAACUCCGGGAAACCGGAGCUAAUACCGGAUGAUAACGAGAAGCGCCUGCUUCUUUUUUGAAAGUCGGUUUCGGCUGACGCUUACAGAUGGGCCCGCGGCGCAUUAGCUAGUUGGUGAGGUAACGGCUCACCAAGGCAACGAUGCGUAGCCGACCUGAGAUGGUGAUCGGCCACACGGGGACUGAGACACGGCCCAGACUCCUACGGGAGGCAGCAGGAGGGAAGCUUCGGCAAUGGACGAAAGUCUGACCGAGCAACGCCGCGUGAGCGAUGAAGGCCUUCGGGUCGUAAAGCUCUGUUGUCAGAGAAGAACAAGUACCGGAGUAACUGCCGAUACCUUGACGGUACCUGACCAGAAAGCCACGGCUAACUACGUGCCAGCAGCCGCCGUAAGAC